UACGUAGGUGGCAAGCGUUGUCCGGAAUUAUUGGGCGUAAAGCGCGCGCAGGCGGCCUUUUAAGUCUGAUGUGAAAGCCCACGGCUCAACCGUGGAAGGUCAUUGGAAACUGAAAGGCUUGAGUACAGAAGAGGAAAGCGGAAUUCCACGUGUAGCGGUGAAAUGCGUAGAGAUGUGGAGGAACACCAGUGGCGAAGGCGGCUCACUGGACCGGAACUGACGCUGAGGCGCGAAAGCGUGGGGAGCAAACAGG
rnacentral:rRNA from 1 species